GGUACAUAGCUUAGUUGGUAGAGUGUUUGCCUCCCAUGCAUAAGGCCCUGGGUUCAAUCUUCAGCACCA
rnacentral:tRNA from 1 species